UGGGGAAUUUUGGACAAUGGGGGAAACCCUGAUCCAGCCAUCCCGCGUGUGCGAUGAAGGCCUUCGGGUUGUAAAGCACUUUUGGCAGGAAAGAAACGUCGCGGGUUAAUACCCCGCGGAACUGACGGUACCUGCAGAAUAAGCACCGGCUAACUACGUGCCAGCAGCCGCGGUAAUACGUAGGGUGCAAGCGUUAAUCGGAAUUACUGGGCGUAAAGCGUGCGCAGGCGGUUCGGAAAGAAAGAUGUGAAAUCCCAGAGCUUAACUUUGGAACUGCAUUUUUAACUACCGGGCUAGAGUGUGUCAGAGGGAGGUGGAAUUCCGCGUGUAGCAGUGAAAUGCGUAGAUAUGCGGAGGAACACCGAUGGCGAAGGCAGCCUCCUGGGAUAACACUGACGCUCAUGCACGAAAGCGUGGGGAGCAAACAGGAUUAGAUACCCUGGUAGUCCACGCCCUAAAACGAUGUCAACUAGCUGUUGGGGUCUUCGGACCUUGGUAGCGCAGCUAACGCGUGAAGUUGACCGCCUGGGGAGUACGGUCGCAAGAUUAAAAA
rnacentral:rRNA from 1 species